GAGAAAAUCUGGCUCUCCAGGAACGGCUGAGGCAAAGCUCCAGUGGGCCGCUCAACACCCUCCGAGCGGAAGAGACAGAGGACGAAUGGACCCCAAAUGAACCUUCUGCAGGGCCCGUUCUGUUNAGCCAAGAGGUGAACGAGACGAGCCGCCUGAUAGCUCUAGAACGGGAGAACCAGGAGUUGUACAGGAGGCUGCAGGAAGCCCUAGAGAACCCAGNGGAACCCAGGCAUUCGCUGUUAGAACCUCAGAACACAGCCCUCGGCCGAAAGCUGGAGUUGCUGCAAAGCCAGGGGGAAGAGGCCACGGGAGAGCAGGCCUCAGACCUUCAGGAACACCUUCCAGAAGCUCAACAGCAGCAGAANAGUGAGGAGAUGGUUUCAGAAAAAAGGGAAAGCCACGUCUUGGGNCACAGGUCUGAGGUGUUGGUGCUGGAAACGGAGGCGGCUUUGGCAGACGCUCGUGCCCAGCUGCGGGAGGCUGUGCAGAAGCGGGAGGCAGAGACCCGCCGAGCGUCAGACCUCGAGGACCUUCUCCGGACUCUCCGGGACGGUCACACCGACACCCUGGAGAAACACGAGGAAGAGCGUCAGCAGUGGCACACGGAAACCGA
rnacentral:lncRNA from 1 species